rnacentral:tRNA from 1 species
CUCUAAGAAGUAUUAAUUGUACAUUUGCCUUCCAAGCAAAAGGUUUAGAUUUUAUCCUAGGUUAGAGA